ACGAACGCUGGCGGCGUGCCUAAUACAUGCAAGUUGAGCGCUGAAGGUUGGUACUUGUACCAACUGGAUGAGCAGCGAACGGGUGAGUAACGCGUGGGGAAUCUGCCUUUGAGCGGGGGACAACAUUUGGAAACGAAUGCUAAUACCGCAUAAAAACUUUAAACACAAGUUUUAAGUUUGAAAGAUGCAAUUGCAUCACUCAAAGAUGAUCCCGCGUUGUAUUAGCUAGUUGGUGAGGUAAAGGCUCACCAAGGCGAUGAUACAUAGCCGACCUGAGAGGGUGAUCGGCCACAUUGGGACUGAGACACGGCCCAAACUCCUACGGGAGGCAGCAGUAGGGAAUCUUCGGCAAUGGACGAAAGUCUGACCGAGCAACGCCGCGUGAGUGAAGAAGGUUUUCGGAUCGUAAAACUCUGUUGGUAGAGAAGAACGUUGGUGAGAGUGGAAAGCUCAUCAAGUGACGGUAACUACGCAGAAAGGGACGGCUAACUACGUG
rnacentral:rRNA from 1 species